UACGUAGGGGGCAAGCGUUAUCCGGAUUUACUGGGUGUAAAGGGAGCGUAGACGGCCAGACAAGUCUGAAGUGAAAAUCCAGCGCUUAACGUUGGAAGUGCUUUGGAAACUGCCGGGCUAGAGUGCAGGAGGGGCAGGCGGAAUUCCUAGUGUAGCGGUGAAAUGCGUAGAUAUUACGCAGAACUCCGAUUGCGAAGGCAGCGUACCGGCGCCCUACUGACGCUGAAGCACGAAGGCGUGGGUAUCGAACAGG
rnacentral:rRNA from 1 species